rnacentral:misc_RNA from 1 species
GAUGAAGAACGUAGCGAAAUGCGAUAAGUAAUGUGAAUUGCAGAAUUCAGUGACUCAUCGAAUCUUUGAACGCACAUUGCGCCCGCCAGUAUUCUGGCGGGCAUGCCUGUUCGAGCGUCAUUACAACCCUCAGGCCCCCGGGCCUGGCGUUGGGGAUCGGCGGAGCCCCCCGUGGGCACACGCCGUCCCCCAAAUGCAGUGGCGGUCCCGCCGCAGCUUCCAUCGCGUAGUAGCUAACACCUCGCGACUGGAGAGCGGCGCGGCCACGCCGUAAAACACCCAACUCUUCUGAAGUUGACCUCGAAUCAGGUAGGAAUACCCGCUGAACUUAAGCAUAUCAAUAAGCGGAGGA